UUUCUUAGACUAUGUCUCGGGUCCCUCCUUCCAGUUUUUAGGGUGAGAAUAAAGUUUAUAAAAUUAGAAGACAGAACAGAAAAAUAGGUGCUAGGAAGGAAGCUGGGGAGAUGAAGGAAACCCUUGGGAGGCCCAGUCCUUAAUGCUCUAGUUGACAAAAUGUAAAAAAUCCAUCUUCAUCCCUCCUACCUUGUCCUUGUCAAGGUGCUGAUCCCUUGGGAACUCAAGGUACACGACGCCUCCUCCCCAGAUAGUCCCAAGUUUAAGGGCAGGAAAUGGUCUUGGACUGGAUGCCUUUGCUCUGAGAGCGGCAGCACAAACAAUUCAACCCGAGAUGGUGAAGAGACAAAGCAGAAGUUCAAGAGAAACAGAUGCGCCAGUGAUACGUCCUGAGGCCAGCCAUGAACUUCCCUCAGAGAUCUGUCUGCAAAUGCCGAGAUCAGAAAAGUUGUUAAACCACAGGCUGGGCCCCACUUCUAAAUAUGGACCAAGGAUCACGAAUAUUUGAGGAAAGCCUCUAACGUGAAAAGCCAAGAGACUCCUAAAGAAGAGCAAAGUGGGAAGACUUUCCAUCCCAGAUAUCAAGACUAGUUAUGAAACUACACAUAUGUAUAUUAUACUUAUGUGUAUCUAUGUAUAAAAUAUAUACCUGUUUAUAUCUGUGUUUAUACAUAUGGUAAUUAGGUAUGUAUAACUAGCAUAGUGUGGUU